GUUAAGUAAACUAGUAGGCAACUUAUUCACCAUCAGAAUCUAACUGCACCUGACUGAGAGUUUCACAGAAUCAGGAAGGUUUCUGAGAGCCCCCACACAGCAACAGGAAGGGGGUUCAGUCUCUCGGUCAGCACAGCCCUGCUGAGAUCCUGACUGACUGAGCCCAGGGUGCAGUUAAAUUUGGAUGUGUCGGCUUCCACACUGCUGUGGCUUAAUGACAGGGACAUGGGGAUUGCAGAAGGCUUCAGAACCUGGCGCUCAGUCUCUCCAGACCUCCUGAAGAGCCACCAUUGCCCUAUACUGUGAACACGGAUAACGUUCAACAGUUGCUCACCAAAUGGCGGUGCUGUUCAAUGAGACCAUGGAAAUUUCAGGAGACCAAUCCAGCUGAAGGAGCAGCACUCCAGAGGUGGGCCCCUGACGGUUAUAUCAGGUCAACAAUCUGUUCCACUUGCUCUGCCUCCUGGCCACCACGAUGUAAACUGCUCUGUCCCCAGAUUCCUUCCCACCAUGAUCUGAAACCUCUGUACCACACACCGAAAUGAAUCCUUCCUGCCUUAACUGAUUUCCAGCAGGUAUCCAGUCACAGCAACACAAAAUUCUGACUAAAGCUACAGGGUCGCCGCCGACAAGCUUUACAUGAUGUGUAUAAGAUAAGUGUAAGCUAAACGGCAGCUUAUGAGCUUUAUACAACAUAUGUAAGAUAACCUGCCCACUAAGUAACCGUAAAAAAUUCAAGUUCAAAAAUCUGGCUUUCCUCAAGGCUCUUCUCGUCCGAGGGUUCUAGAUUUGGGGAAAUCAACAGAAAUAGCAAUGGGAUAAGGGACGACAUAUAUCAUGACUUGGUGACACAAACCAGCCAGCCCAGUGGGAGGUGAUACCAAAAAUGUCCCAACUGAAGAGAAAGCUGGCACUAAAGGUGACACAUUAGCAGCAAUGUUCUUGAGCUGGGAUUUUUUUUUUCUAACUGAUUCCCAAUAAAAACCCUUGUCUUCUUGAAAGUCAAAGAUUUACUGGUUGGUGGAAGAAAUGCAGCCAGAACGUGGUUCCCAUUCUACAGUCAUCAGCAAACACAUGGGAAGGAGCUGCAGACUUCCUGGACACACACGUGCACACAGAGACACACACGCACACAUGCAGAACUUUCCUGAAUAAUUUGAUGAUGACAUUUGGAAUUCAUCUCUUACAUCUUAAGCCUUCUGAAAAGUCCAUGUCUAUGAAGGGAGGGUUCAAAUCUUAGACUCCAUCGUUGACAAAGGUCAAAUGCACCCUCUUGUGGUAAAACGGUGCAUUUGAGUUCCAGAUGAAUUCAGUGCCCGAGGAGAUGGUAAUUUGAAGAAUAAGAAGUACUGGAAGAGAAACAACAUCUUUGUUAUGAAGCUUUGAUUUUUUUUUAAUACUGGUUAUAUCUGCCUUACGGUUUCCAUAAUCUCCAAUUUGGGAAUGAAAAACUGAGACAGAAGCCUGGCGUCACUUGUUUAGAGAACCCAAGAGUAAUACACAAUGAGGUGACAUGAAGACUCAAUGUCUUACCUUCCUAUAAGCAUGCAGACCACUAAGAAACUAUCCAGAUGAUUUGGAGAAACCAAGAGAGCUAAAAAUGAAGGGGGAAAAAAAAGCUGAUCCGGACACAGUAACCCAGGGAUGUAGCCGCUCCCCAGGCAUGCUGAAUCUCCAUUUGACUCUCACUUUGUGCAGACAACAGGCUCAAGCAUGGUAACCAACAGCUGAUAAUUACAUAUCCACACCACCACAGGUGACGUUAAAGAGCAAUGGCCUUCAGAGUUCUCAUCAUAAGAGACAGAAGGUCCUGUCCUCAGGGACUCCAGCCUCUGGAUGUCCCUCAGUCUCAGAAGCCUUGUAUGCAUUUUAAAAUUCGCUAUCUGAACAGGGCAAGGUCAUGGGACUCAAUUCAAGGGCAACCAACAACAACUCGGCACACACUAACUUCCCCAAAACUUGGCUCUAGCUAAGGACUGCUAACAGGAGCAGUAAGGAAUGACACUGGUUCCUUGGAACAUACAGAGUACAGAAACACCCAAAACAAUUUGACCUACUGCCAGUGCAGACAGGUGCGGCAAUCCUUUUUCCUCCCGACUGAAGUAAGCAUUGCUGUGUUUGGGUAUGUUCAUCCUCGAGGGCUCAUGGCAGUGUUAAAAGGUGAUGGAAACUUUAAGAGAUGUGCCUACAGAGAUAUCCUUAUGUCACCGGAGGGUUGUUCUCCGAAGAGGUUUGGGAUAUUUCUCAUGGGAUCCCUGAGAGAGCCCUCAAGAGAGAAAAUUGUGACAAAAGUCUGUGACUGACCCUGAGGGUCACUGUCUGGCUUCCUGUUAACCCAGGUCCCUCUCACUUGCUCCAUGAGGCCUUGAUCAGAGCCAAGUUGAGACCAGCGCCAUGUGCUGCAUUCCCAGAGCUGAGAGCGAAAGAUUUCUUCACCAAGUUCCCCAACAAGAAACACUGUAAUAUAUAUGAAGAAUUCCCUAGAGUACAAGAUUACAUUAAACUAUGGUGUCUGAAAAGAAAUGAAGCUUCGACUGGUCAAAACAGAAUGUGCUUUGAUCAUGCUGAUUUGAUUGCAAUAUUUUUCCUUUAAUCUUUAUUGAUUGGUUGAGCUAUCUGUCUCAGAUUUUCCUAAAGCCAUAGAACAGACUGAAAAACUAUCCAGCAAUCUGAGACCUCCUCCUGACAGCCUUGGGACUCUGUGUUAUUAAAUAAUUGUGUGGAUAUUGAGAAUAACUCAGUGGUUAUCAACCUUUCUAAUACUGCACCCUUUUAAUACAGUCCCUCAUGCUGUGGUGACCCCCAACUAUAAAGUUAUUUUGUUGCUACUUCAUAACUGUAAUUUUGCUACUGUUAUGAAUCUUAAUGAAAACAUCUGUGCAUUCUGGUGGUCUUAGGCCACCCUUGUAUAAAGGUCAUAGGACCCUCAAAGGGGUCACAACCCAUGGGUUGAGAACUGUUGGUCUAACGGCUGAUGUUGAGCAGUACUAAGAAGGCGGUCUGCAGAGCAAGAGCUUCCAGGGCUUUCAUUACCUCCCUGAGUAGAAAUUUCUGAGAGUCCACAAUUAAUAAAGAUGCCUCAUACUGCACUUCAGUAAGACUUCUGUGCUGAUCAAACAGCGUGGGCCACUCAUAAAGAACUGAAAUCACAAGCUUUGGAGGAGGCUUUGACAGCGGGAGUUCUUCACCCUGUGACCUCAGCCAGCAGGGAUGCCUCAGCACACUGGAUCCAGUCACGGUGGAGCAGGGGAGCCCUCUACCUUCCCUGCUCACACUGCAGGUUCCAGGUCUCCACCCAGAAUUGAUGCAACUCAGGAGAGGAAUUACUGUCACUCUCGUCGGGUUCCCUCUGAUACUAAAACAUCAUUUUCCAAGAGAAGACUACAGCCGGGCUGGGAGUGUGGCUUCACGUCAACAUCAAGGGAGAAGUUAACUCAUUUAACUUCUGCACCCCAGAGGCCCUUCCACCCACAUUCUGCUCACCUCCGGGUUUUCACGGAGGAGCUUUGUUGUCAAGGCAGUUCUGGAAGCCGGCAGGUUGUCAUCAGUCAGAAGAGUGAGUGAAUGGAGGAGGAUUAAAUGAAUGAAGGCACACACGUCCCUCUCGACCACUGCCCAUCGACAGUGCUCGCCGAGCAUCCUGGUGUUUUCUACUAUUGUUGUAGUUUCCCACUCCGGGGCCAUUCAAGGACUUGAACGCCGGACAGAUACCUCAGUGAAGAAUUGAAUUAAACCUGCCCUUGUGGAAGAGCAUCCUCCAGCAGGCUAGCUCCUCCCUGAGAGCCUAACGUCCUGAAAGUCUACUUCGAUUUGAUUUUAGAAGAAAAAAAAUCAAUUUUAAAAAUUAACAUUUCUUUAUUCUCAAGAAGUUCUCAAUACCUACUUUUCUUUUCCCCGCCUCAUGCCACGCUGUCAGACCAGAUGCGUUAGGAACUCUCCUGGUUAGUCAGCUGUGGUGGAAUGAUGUAGUCGCUGGCAGGUCACUAGCACUGUGGUCUCCUCCCUCAGCCAGAGUUCCUCAAUGAGCAUGAGGCUGCCAGGACAAGUGCAUCCCAGACUCUUCCCAGUCUUUUGUCUCAGUGGAGCUGCCAGGAGCCAUCUGCCUUGCUGGAGCUCUCUUUCAUCUCUUAACAUCGCUUUAUAGCUUGUCUCUUUCAUGUUAAAAUGUUAAAAGCAAAGAUAGGCUUGUUCAAGCAUCUAGGAACGUGCACAUAUUUUGAACAUCAGAUUGACGGUGGCCGUGCAAAGCAAAAACAUUUCGUUUCCGAUAAAUCUGUUUCCACUACGCGCAGGCCGCAGUUAGCCCGCCUUGCACAUUCCACGGCCAUACCCACCGCCCAGUGGGCAGGCUGAGCGCUGCACCUGCAGAAUGAAACCCGUCUUGUAAAGGAAGAGUGCCAAGUUGCUACAAGAUGCUUCCUCAGCUGGAUUCUGUUUCUUACCUGUGAACAGAACUACAUUCAUCUCUUGUGGAUGUAUUGACCGGGUGUACGGAGCUGCCAGAGGACAAGAAUGGGGAAAGCCUGUCAGCAACCAUAGCUGCUCUUAAUUUUCCCUGAGAAUGUGGAGGGGGAUCUUAAAAAAAGACCUCCCUCUCCCUCUCUCCCUCUCCCUCUCUCCCUCUCCCUCUCCCUCUCCCUCUCCCUCUC